ACCACCUACUUUGUUCUACUCGUGCCUUAGCACUCCCCCUGUGCCCUGUACUUCCAGAAGUUUAGCCCUUUGUUAGGGCAUCUAGUCUAUAACAUGGCAAGCUACUGUCUAUAACUGAUUUUAGUUAUAUUCUGCUGGAUUUGUACCUCACUCUACUAUAGCACGCUUUAAAAAUGCACAGGGGAAUUGUAGGCAGAGAGGGCACAAAGUACAGCAAAAGAAAAGUACACAGCAAGUUGUGUGUCUGGGAGGGUCAGGAAGGAGUCACACACGGUGACACCACAUCCAAGGGCAAAAUUACUUUCUUUAUUGAACAUAUUUUUUAAUCCCGCCUCUCUCCUUCAAAAGGACCCAAGUUAUGAUCGUUCUUGAUACAAAGCCUCCGGAACUACUGAGUACAGUACUGUGCGCCAGUUAUCCGCCCGAUGCCCUUAUUAGGAGGAAAGGCCCUAAACCUCCCCUUCGAUGAGGAAAUCAGAUCAUAAAUAUCCUCCCCGCCACCCACCCGCACCCAGAGGUGGUUUAAGCGUGCAAGAGGCGGCCUGAGGCGUCCUCCCGGGAGCUGCCUCAGGACCCAGCCUCUCUCUCCAAAAAGCCGCUCCCUUCGACCGUCUCGGCACCUGCUCGAACUUGAGCGGCUCUUUGCUUUAUGAACAGCGAGGGCUCCUCCGUCGUCUCCGGACAGCCCCGAACGAGGAGAGUCGUGGGGAAGGUUUGAGAGAGAGAAAGAAAAGAGUUCACAGGACCAGCGAAACCGCGCCUUUGGAGGAAGAGGCGGCAGCAGCAGCCGCCAUCGCGCGGAUUUUCACUUUCGCUACUUCGAGCGGCCGGGACGCCGGGACGACGCGACGGCCAUGUGGGGACUGUUCUGGGCUCUGCUCCUGCUUCUUCGGUUGGAGCUUCCGCUCGGGGCCUCGCCAGAAGAACAGUGUCAUCAGAAUACCAUCGGUGGCAUUGAAGGAAAAGAUAUUGCUUUACACCCAAAUGUUAGUGGCUCGCCAGCAGAGAUUACCUGGAUGAAAGACAGAAAUAUAGUGGCUACGUCAAUUGAUGGUUUUCCAACAAAGAACAAUUUAGAGCUUAUCGUUAAUAAUGGUAGUUUGAUUCUCCACAACCUGUCACUGAAAGAUGUUGGAUGUUACAAAGCUGAAAUUGAAGUUAAAGAUGAAGUAACAGAAACAUUUUUUGGUUUGAAAGUAUUAGUACCACCUAGUUUAACCUGCUCUACCAAUGAUAGCAUCCAAAUAAGCUGCAAUCUGCCCACCAACAUGCUGGAUCUGUCACCAUCAUAUGAGUGGAAAGGCUUUGAAAAAGAUGAAAUUAUUCAUUCUAAUUGGUCUUUUGUGCAACUUCACAAAAACAUAGACCCUUCUAAGAAAAUCACGUGCAUCAUUACUGCUUUCAAUGUAAAUGUGAGCAACUCCAUCAAUUUGAAUGAAUGUAUCCGGAAAGAUCAUCAGAUUGGAGGUAGAAGUAGAAUUCAGAUUCUCUUGGCUGUAAUCAUUGUAGCGCUGGUGGUAAUAGGAAGUUACAUUUACCUAAUAAAAGCCACUGCUCAGAAUGAAGGAGGAAUCUGUCCAAAUGCAAAGUAUGAUCCUAUGCCAUCUCCAGAAGGAGGAAACAUAAGUGAUAAUCAGCCAGAUGUUAACCUAGACUCAGCUGAGAACUUGGAAGGAAGCAGAGAGGAAUCGUCUCCACCAGAAAGUUGAGAACAAAAAGGAGAAUUCCAGGGUUGGAACUGAGGAACUUUGCAAAGCAACACACUUGUUUCGUUCCAGCCGUCUGCUCUUGGCACACAUGUGCAGCGCUUCAGGAGUAAUGGCCUACAGAGGGACUCAUCCAUGGGUGAACCAUAUCAUCUUCUUAUGAGUGGCCUAGCAGUAUUCAUGCUUAUCUCCUCAAAAAAGACACUCAUGUUUUGCACUGAAAACUGAAAAAGGGGAUUUUUGCACUGAAAAGGUGGAUAUUUUCUCAAACACCUGUUUUUAUAUGUAAUACUUUAAAACAUUUUACAUUUAGUGCUUUUUUAAAAUUUAUUUACAGAGCUAACAGAAGGAAAACCCACUAGUCAAUAUCUGGAAGGCUAAAAUAAAAUAAAAUGUGCUUGCUGCCA
ensembl:lncRNA uncharacterized LOC110076964